rnacentral:rRNA from 1 species
AUGAACGCUGGCGGCAUGCCUAACCCAUGCCAGUCGAUCGGUAAGGCUCUUCGGAGUACACGAGAGGCGGACGGCUGAGUAACGCGUAGGAACACACCCUGCAGUGAGGGAUAAGACACCGAAAGGUGUUCUAAUACCGCAUACGGUCUUCGGAUUAAAGCAUUUAUGCGCUGAAGGAGUGGCCUGCGUCAUAUUAGAUAGUUGGUGAGGUAAUGGCUCACCAAGUCGAUGAUGUGUAGCUGGUCUGAGAGGAUGAUCAGCCAGACUGGAACUGAGACACGGUCCAGACUCCUACGGGAGGCAGCAGUGAGGAAUAUUUCACAAUGAGCGAAAGCUUGAUGGAGCAAUGCCGCGUGCAGGAUGAAGGCCCUCGGGUUGUAAACUGCUUUUAUAAGAGAAGAUUAUGACGGUAACUUAUGAAUAAGGGACGGCUAACUACGUG